ACAGCCCCCCCACAAAGGCCCUGGCCCAGGUCAUGGGGAACCUGAGGUUUCGGGUGAAGGGCCUCAAAAAGAAGAGGGUUCAACCAGCAUCCACCUCCCGGCUUGAUGAGGAGAAGCCUUUGGGCCGCCCUUCAGGCCGGAGCCCCUUCCCUGGCCAGACCGCCCCGGACCCAAGCCAGAUCCCUGAGGAACCUGGUGAACAGGGCCCGAGAAAGGACCUGUCCCAGGUCUUGGGGAACGUGAGGGUCCGGGUGAGGGCACUAAGAAAGAAGAGGGUCGAAACAGCUACCACAGCACUGACGGAGCAGGAGGAGGAGAAGCCUUUGGGCCGCCCUUCACGCCAGAACACCUUUAGGCGAAUCAAGAUGGCCUGGGCCGACCCAAAGGCCGUCAUCACCACCGACGCACCCCCGAACACCCCUGAACAUCAGGAUCUGGUCAUCGAGGCUGAGGAGGAGGGGGAAGCCACAGCUCAGGCUGAGGGGACGAGCCUCAGGCCCCGGGUCAACAAGUGGCUGAACCGUAGAAUGAAGGAGAUGUCUACAUUUGCGGCCCGGUUCCAGUGUGGGUCGUGUGUGCGCUAAGAAAAAAAAAAGGAAAGAAAAGAAAAUAGCAUAUAAAAACCCAAAAAAAACAACUGCAAAAUAAAAUGUAUUACAUUGUGAAGACAAAGUAUGCACGUCAAACAUCUGAUGGCGCCCGACCAAGUCCAGAUCGAUGUGAAGUCACACAGGAGGGAAACCCCAGCUUUGUCUAAGCCCGGGUGAAUUUAAGCAAAGUAUUGAAACAUCUGAUGGGACUCAACCAAGUCCUCAUCGAUGUUGCAUCACACUGAGGUGUGUCAUACUUUGUUUAAAUUCACCUACGCUAGGACAAAGCUGGGGUUUCACUCCAGUGGGAUGUCACAUCGAUGUGGACCUGGGCUGGACUUAUCCGAUGUUUGAUGUCCAUACUUUGUCUGGGCCCAGGUGAAUUUAAACAAAGUAUGUACGUCAAACAACUGAAGUGACCCGACCAGGUCGACAUCGAUGUGACAUCACACAGGAGUGAAACCCCAGCUUUGUCUGAGCCCGGGUGAAUUUAAACAAAGUAGUCAAACAUCUGAUGGGACCCAACCAAGUCCUCAUCGGUGUUACAUCACAUUGAGGUGUGUAAUGCUUUGUUUAAAUUCACCUGCGCUUGGACCAAGCUGCGG
ensembl:lncRNA